AUAAAUACUAUCCAUAGCUGAAAUGGGGAGGGAUAUUGUAAAACUGAAACAUUCAAAACCUAAAUUAAUUUUUUUCUUGGUUUUUUUUUUUUUUUUUUUUUUUUUUCAGAGUUCACCUCAGGACACCUCAUGUAUCUGCUGAUUUGGAAUGAAGUGUGCCAUCAAAUGUAGGACUGCUGUGGGGCUGGAGGAGAAUCUGAGCCAAUUCCCUUCCCUGUGUGACCUGUGGGAUAUUCAUUGGGAUAUUCAGAGCUGCUUUUUGGACAAACUUCCUGAUCCAGUGUUUGUUAGAAUCAUUGUUUGUGAGAAGAAACCUGGGUGUGCUCAUUUCUUGCUGAGGUUCCCUUCUCUGCAAAGACCUGCCUGACUCACUGCUUGACUUGGAAACACCCCCAGG
rnacentral:lncRNA from 12 species